UUACCAAGUAAACCAGAAGAAUCAGAUCCACCAGCAGACACCAGCCCGAAAGAGGAUGCGACAGGACCGAAAGCUUUCUUACCCUUAGCUAGAAUACCUGGAUAUGAUGAACGAUGUAAUGUGCAAGUACCGACAACAAAAGAAAAAUGUAGAAGCACUCACGACGGAAAGAAGCAGCGUAAAGGGUGGUAUCUCGAUCCAGCAACAAGAAAGUGCCUACCAAGCUGCGACAAAAAUGCCCCCUUCCGAUACAAAAUUCACUGCAACGGAAUCUGUCGGACUGAAAGGGCUUGCCACUUUGAAGCAACAAGUUUUCCCUGUGGGUUUCGGGCUAUGCAUCCUAUAUUCGUUUAUAAUCGCGCGCAGAAGAAAUGUGUCAAAGCGUAUGACUGCGAUUACUAUGGAAACAAGUUCGUUACAUUGAAGGAAUGUCUAAAGACAUGCGU